rnacentral:rRNA from 1 species
CCUACGAGGGGCAGCAGUGAGGAAUAUUGGUCAAUGGGCGCGAGCCUGAACCAGCCAAGUCGCGUGAGGGAUGACGGCCCUACGGGUUGUAAACCUCUUUUGCCGGGGAGCAACGGGCGCCACGUGUGGCGCCACUGAGAGUACCCGGAGAAAAAGCAUCGGGUAACUCCGUGCAAGCAGCCGCGGUAAUACGGAGAAUGCGCGCGUUAUCCGGAUUUAUUGGGUUUAAAGGGUGCGUAGGCGGAUCGUAAAGUGAGUGUUCAAAUUUAGGGGAUCAACCCCUUCCCGCCAUUGAAACUGGCGCUCUUGAGUGGAAGAGAAGGAUGCGGAAUGCGUGGUGUAGCGGUGAAAUGCAUAGAUAUCACGCAGAACCCCGAUUGCGAAGGCAGCAUGCCGGCUUCCGACUGACGCUGAAGCACGAAAGCGUGGGGAUCGAACAGGAUUAGAUACCCUAGUAGUC